AACGUAGGUGGCGAGCGUUAAUCGGAAUUACUGGGCGUAAAGCGUGCGCAGGCGGUUCGCUGUGUCCGAUGUGAAAGCCCCGGGCUCAACCUGGGAAUGGCAUGGGAAACUGGCGGGCUGGAGUGUGGCAGAGGGGGGUGGAAUUCCACGUGUAGCAGUGAAAUGCGUAGAGAUGUGGAGGAACACCGAUGGCGAAGGCAGCCCCCUGGGCUAACACUGACGCUCAUGCACGAAAGCGUGGGGAGCAAACAGG
rnacentral:rRNA from 1 species